GAAGAUAUAGCUCAAGUGGCAGAGCACAUGCUUAGCACGCACAGGGUCCUGGGUUCAAUCCCCAGCACCUCCA
rnacentral:tRNA from 1 species